rnacentral:rRNA from 1 species
UCGAGAAUCUUUCGCAAUGGGCGAAAGCCUGACGAAGCGACGCCGUGUGAGCGAUGAAGGCCUUCGGGUUGUAAAGCUCUUUCGCCUGUGAACAAGUGAGUCUGACGAACAAUCAGAUAAAUUGAGGGUAACAGGUAAAGAAGCACCGGCUAACUCCGUGCCAGCAGCUGCGGUAAUACGGAGGGUGCAAGCAUUAAUCGGAUUUAUUGGGCGUAAAGGGCGCGUAGGCGGGUCUUUAAGUCAGAUGUGAAAUCCCGAGGCUCAACCUCGGAACAGCAUUUGAAACUGGAGACCUUGAGGGUAGAAGGAGAGAAUGGAAUUCCACAAGUAGCGGUGAAAUGCGUAGAUAUGUGGAAGAACACCGGUGGCGAAGGCGAUUCUCUAUUUUAUUCCUGACGCUGAGGCGCGAAAGUAAGGGGAUCAAACAGGAUUAGAUACCCCCGUAGUCC